AACGAACGCUGGCGGCAUGCCUAACACAUGCAAGUCGAACGAACCCUUCGGGGUUAGUGGCGCACGGGUGCGUAACGCGUGGGAAUCUGCCCUUUGCUUCGGAAUAACAGUUAGAAAUGACUGCUAAUACCGGAUGAUGUCUUCGGACCAAAGAUUUAUCGGCAAAGGAUGAGCCCGCGUAGGAUUAGGUAGUUGGUGGGGUAAAGGCCUACCAAGCCGACGAUCCUUAGCUGGUCUGAGAGGAUGAUCAGCCACACUGGGACUGAGACACGGCCCAGACUCCUACGGGAGGCAGCAGUGGGGAAUAUUGGACAAUGGACGCAAGUCUGAUCCAGCAAUGCCGCGUGGGUGAUGAAGGCCUUAGGGUUGUAAAGCUCUUUUACCAGGGAUGAUAAUGACAGUACCUGGAGAAUAAGCUCCGGCUAACUCCGUGCCAGCCGCCGCGGUAACAC
rnacentral:rRNA from 1 species